ensembl:snRNA U6 U6 spliceosomal RNA
AUGCUCGCUUCGGCAGCACAUAUACAAAAAACUUGGAACGACACAGAGAAGAUAGGCAUGAUCCCUGUGCAAGCAUGACACAGUUCCAUAUUUUU